rnacentral:rRNA from 1 species
UACGAAGGGGGCUAGCGUUGCUCGGAAUCACUGGGCGUAAAGCGCACGUAGGCGGCUUUCUAAGUCAGGGGUGAAAUCCUGGAGCUCAACUCCAGAACUGCCUUUGAUACUGGGAAGCUCGAGUCCUGGAGAGGUGAGUGGAACUCCGAGUGUAGAGGUGAAAUUCGUAGAUAUUCGGAAGAACACCAGUGGCGAAGGCGGCUCACUGGCCCGGUACUGACGCUGAGGUGCGAAAGCGUGGGGAGCAAACAGG